rnacentral:rRNA from 1 species
GACAGAGGGUGCAAAUGUUGUUCGGAAUUACUGGGCGUAAAGCGUGUGUAGGCGGUCCUCUAAGUCGGAUGUGAAAUCCCUGGGCUCAACCCAGGAAGUGCACUCGAAACUGGAGGGCUAGAGUAUCGGAGAGGUUGGUGGAAUUCUCGGUGUAGAGGUGAAAUUCGUAGAUAUCGAGAGGAACACCGGUGGCGAAGGCGGCCAACUGGACGAAUACUGACGCUGAGACACGAAAGCGUGGGGAGCAAACAGG